rnacentral:rRNA from 1 species
AGUGAACGCUGGCGGCGUGCCUAAUACAUGCAAGUCGAACGGAGUGGCGCACGGGUGAGUAAUGUAUAGCUAAUCUGCCCUACACUAGAGGAAAACAGUUGGAAACGAAUGCUAAUACCCUAUAGUUUAGGAUGAGGCUAUAUUGUAUCAGCUAGUUGGUGAGGUAAUGGCUCACCAAGGCUAUAACGCGUAACUGGUCUGAGAGGAUGAUCAGUCACACUGGAACUGAGACACGGUCCAGACUCAUUCGGGAGUCAGCAGUAGGGAAUAUUGCUCAAUGGGGGAAACCCUUAAGCGGCAACGCCGCGUGGAGGAUGACACUUGUCGGAGCGUAAACUCCUUUUGUUAGGGAAGCGGUACCUAACGAAUAAGCACCGGCUAACUCCGUGCCAGCAGCCGCGGUAAUUC